rnacentral:rRNA from 1 species
GGUCAGGAUGAACGCUGGCGGCGUGCCUAAUACAUGCAAGUCGAACGCAUUACUUCGGUAGUGAGUGGCGAACGGGUGAGUAACACGUAGGUAACUUACCUCUAAGACGAGGAUAACGACUGGAAACGGUCGCUAAAACUGGAUAGGAUCAUUUGAGGCAUCUCGAAUGAUUUAAAGGGGCUUUCAAGCCACACUUAGGAGAAAGGCCUGCGGCGCAUUAGCUAGUUGGUGGGGUAGAGGCCUACCAAGGCGAUGAUGCGUAGCCGGACUGAGAGGUCGAACGGCCACAUUGGGACUGAGACACGGCCCAAACUCCUACGGGAGGCAGCAGUAGGGAAUUUUCGGCAAUGGGGGAAACCCUGACCGAGCAACGCCGCGUGAAUGAAGACGUAUUUCGGUAUGUAAAGCUCUAUCAGCAGGGAAGAAAAUGACGGUACCUGACUAAGAAGCCCCGGCUAACUACGUGCCAGCCGCCGC